rnacentral:misc_RNA from 1 species
GAUGAAGAACGUAGCGAAAUGCGAUAAGUAAUGUGAAUUGCAGAAUUCAGUGAAUCAUCGAAUCUUUGAACGCACAUUGCGCCCGCUAGUAUUCUGGCGGGCAUGCCUGUCCGAGCGUCAUUUCAACCCUCAAGCCCCCGGGCUUGGUGUUGGGGAUCGGCGAGCCUGCGCGCCCGCCGUCCCCUAAAUCUAGUGGCGGUCUCGCUGUAGCUUCCUCUGCGUAGUAGCACACCUCGCACUGGGAAACAGCGCGGCCACGCCGUUAAACCCCCAACUUCUGAACGUUUGACCUCGGAUCAGGUAGGAAUACCCGCUGAACUUAAGCAUAUCAAUAAGCGGAGGA